GAGACUGCAGGAGCCCGACCGGUCUGCGGUGAUGAUGUGACGUGGGUCGUCCUCCAAAGGAAGGCCAUCUAGGAGGAAGGGAUCAGGAUCCAGGAACACAGUAAUACCUGAAAGUGAAACCACCUUUUUGGGUUGUCUUGAUGCAUCUCAAUCAUCCAGGUAUGCUGGACACAGCCAUCCCUGCCGAGCAGGGUUGGUUUUGGUGGGUUUGGUCCUCACCAGCCAUCUGUCAGGAUGAACAGA